AGCAGCCGCGGUAAUUCCAGCUCCAAUAGCGUAUAUUAAAGUUGUUGCAGUUAAAAAGCUCGUAGUUGAAUUUCGGGGUCAGUAGGUUGGUCGUGCCACUGGUAUGUACUGGCCUCACUGAUUCCUCCCUCUUGUAGAACCGUAAUGCCAUUAAGUUGGUGUUGCGGGGAAACAGGACUGUUACUUUGAAAAAAUUAGAGUGUUUAAAGCAGGCUAACGCUUGAAUACAUUAGCAUGGAAUAAUGAAAUAGGACGUUCGACCCUAUUUUGUUGGUUUCUAGGAUUGACGUAAUGAUUAAUAGGGAUAGUUGGGGGCAUUAGUAUUCAAUUGUCAGAGGUGAAAUUCUUGGAUUUAUUGAAGACUAACUACUGCGAAAGCAUUUGCCAAGGAUGUUUUCAUUAAUCAAGAACGAAAGUUAGGGGAUCGAAGACGAUCAGAUACCGUCGUAGUCUUAACCAUAAACUAUGCCGGCUAGGGAUCGGAUGAUGUUAAUUUUAUAAUGACUCAUUCGGCGCCUUA
rnacentral:rRNA from 1 species